rnacentral:lncRNA from 1 species
AAAGGAGGGAAGAGAAGGGACUAGCCAGGACCAUGGUGACAGCCAUGCACCCAGAACCAAGGAGUUGAGGGCAACCUGGAGGAGUUAGGAGGACCUAUGGGAGUUUUUCACUCAAUAAGUCUUUGCCAUGGACAAAAUGAUCAAAACCAGCUGCUCCGUGGAGUUCUUCAUUGAAAGGAAGAGAGAGGUGGAGUUGGCAGUGAAGCGGGAUCUGCAGACACACUUCAGCAUCAAGCUGACUUAUCACUCCUCUGGAAACGGUUAACAUGCCUGGUCCAGCCACCCGUCAUGUGGAUGUGAUGUGCCUCUCAGCAGUUCUGAAGAUGACAGAAUUCACUUGCAGAUCUAAAAGAGACAAACAGAAGCUGGAAAUUGUACAUAGAGUUGAUAGGAAAACCACCUGAUUACAAAUCACUUAUCGGAAAUGCUAUGUGGAGAAGAAUUAGAAGACAUGGUCACUGAGCAGGAAGAGACAUGACUCUGCCAAGGUAUUAUUGGAAAGGUUGGAGGUGAUCUACUAUAUGGAAGCAUCUCUGAAGUCUAGACAUAAAUCAUCACAGUUCUAGAAAAAGUGGAAGAGAAAACACACCUUUGUAAAAGGACUGGAACAUAGGAAAGUGAUUGAGUUUGAAACACCAACAAAACCAUAUAGGGUGACGGACAGAAACCAGAUUAUAAGGUGUUAAGGAGGGAGGAAGAAAAGACAAAUCAAGAAAACCCCAGGCCCCACCAGCAGAGCAGCAGAGCAGCAGAGUGGCAGAGUGGCAGAGAAGGAGAGAAGCAGCAGCCAGAUGUUGGAGAGAAGCAGCUUGACUUCAGAGGGACAACUUGGUAGCGGGACCUCGGAGAAGAGUUUGGCCAGGGAUGCCCAAACUCCAGGGGAAGACCACCUUCCCACUCCAUCCCCUUUCCAGCUCCCCAUUCCAUUGAGAGCCACU